GCCGUUCCCGUUUCCUCAUCCGAACCACACAACUCGCGAACGAAUUGAAGCCUGCCCACAAAGUGACGCUGAGUAGUAACAACGAUCACCGCACCUUCACGAGCUGCUCUGUCAACCAAUGCUGGCCUGCCACUCAAGAAACGGCCUGCCAUAUUCACUUGUAGUGACAUAGCACAAGCAGCAUUGCAUCAUGGUUUACAUAUUUCCACUUCCGGCCUCCUACUACUCUGGUGAGCCGCUCUACAUUCGCCUCAGCACCCUCAUGUUGCCCAACAUGGGUGCGCAGCCGCCGUCCCUGCAGUGUAUGGCAAGGUGGCGUGCAUCCUUCUUGGAGCAGUGAUAAUUGUGCUCUGUGAGCCUCGUGUUGAGGCAUCUACCCGUUUGACCAACAUACACCUUAUUACACGUAAGCGGUAUCGAAUAUACGACACACUCAGUGUAGAUGACGUAAGGGU
rnacentral:lncRNA from 1 species